rnacentral:lncRNA from 1 species
AUGAGAAGUAAGCAAUGAGUGACACCAUUUAAACACAGUCUGGUGAGCAGUCUGGUGAGCCUCAGAUACUGGAGUCCACUUGAAAAUAUCCAAACAGGUCAGUCCAUGUCUGCAGAGCAUUGAGAGCACAUGCCACCAGUCCGUACACAAACCCACACACUGCCGGACUAGGAAAGAUCCUCUACAAUUCAUGCCUAAUGUCAGGGAACCCAACACACCUAUUGCUUUUUAAAUUUUUCGAAAAAUGGUUUGAUGCUGCAACUCAAAACCCCUUUCCAGCCCUCUUAUGUUAGUGGCCCAACAUGCAACAUGUGCAUUUUCACCCCCUUUUCCCUCCUGCCAGCCCUUCCAUGCUGGCAGUUGUUUGCAGGUGGCACUGUUGUUACUGUCCGAGGUCUAUUUCUGUGAGAUUUUAUUUCUGCAAAAUGUAUGAAAUUGUAUAGAGGUUUCUUUUCAAACAAAUUCAAGAGUUAAUCUGUGUGUAGUGUCUCUGAACAUUAAUGUAGGUUAUAUUUAAGAGGAUUGUCAAUUGUAUGUGUAUACACAUUUGUGUGGGAAAGUAGCACAUUUUAAUAGGCAGUGCACCCGGAAAUGUGUUCCCUAUUUUAAAAAUACUUAUACAAAUUGUGACCAUAAUAUGUUAUCAUUUGAGAUUAACUAAAAAAAUCUAAUUUAUAUGGGCUGUACAAUAUUUCUUCAUUUUAAAAAGGCAACAUUUUUUAGAAUAAGGGCAUCUUUCCAACCAGGUAUUAUUCACUGGCAAAAGCACAGUGAAGAACAAAUUCUACAGAAAUACUCUUCUUAAUAAAUACCAUCCAGUGGCACAAUAUAAAAGAAGAAAAUUAAAACCAAGGUCGCUUUGUAAAAGGGUCAUGCAAAUAAUAAAAGAUAAGAAAUGGUUAUUCAAAAUAUUUAAAUCAGAGGAGUCAAUUGUAUCCUAUAAAAAAUAUAAGCAUGCCAAGAGGGCUUGCAAAAGGGCAAUUAGAUGGGCUAAACUUGAAAAUGAAAAGCUCACUAUCCAAGAGAGCAAGACCAACCCUUUUUUUAAGUAUGUAAAUACCAAAAAGGUUAAUAAUGAAAGUGUUGGUCCAUUGUAAAGUGAGUCAAGUUAGUUAAUUAAGGACGAUCAGGACAAGGCAGAAAUUCUAAAUAAUUACUUUUCUUCAUUAUUAUUAUUUAGGGAAUAUGAAUUUAUGACUAUGUAGAUUUGCAAAUCCCUGUUACAAAAGCUUUUUGGCAAACAGGUGAUUGUUUAACACAUGAUAAAGUGCUUUGAAAAUUAAAUAAAGUUAAUGUAAACAAAGUCCCAGGGCCUAAUGGUAUGUACCCACAUGUAAUUAGGGAGAUUUACAUUUAUCUGUAUUGAAUCUCAUCUGCCACUUGCCUGCCAAAUUCCCCAAUUUAGUUAAGUUAUAUAAUGUUCAGACUAUAUGUUCUUACUUUGUUUUGUGUCAUCUGCAAACACCGACAAAGGACUUUCAUUGCCCACCAUAAGAACAUUUAUAAACAGAUUAAAGAGAUUUGGAUACAUCGAGGGACUAGGCAGGCAAGUGGCAGAUGAGAUUCAAUACAGAUAAAUGUAAAGGCAUGCAUUUUGGAAUAAGGAACAAACAAGCCACUUCUACAUUAAAUGGGGUUAAGUAAGGGAAACCAUUAAAUUAAAAGGACUUGGGAACAAUUACAGAUUACAAACUAGGCAAUAGUAUUCAAUGCCUGUUUGUCGUUGCUAAACAUAGCAAGGUACUUUUGUGUAUUAUAUUGAUCUGAUAGUUGGUCAAUCGCCGCUGGACAUACAUCACUAGUGUGGUGCCGCCGCGGCGAGAGGCCGACACAAGUACCGUGGGGAAACUCCAGGGGUCUCCAGGGGCUUAACCCCUACACAACAAAUAAAAAAGGAAAGAAAACACAAAAGCUAGUUACAAUGCCAAAAGACAAACGUGGUUAGCUGUGUUUGCCUGGAAAUAUACAGUAGUCUAAUAUAAAUGCAAGAUAUACACUAUAUAUAUAGGAUACAAAGAAAUUGAGAUAGCCCUACAACGUGUAAUCUGAACCAACAAGUAGAUACAUGUAUAUAUCUUGGUAUCUGUAUAGGUAUACGGGAAUCACCAGUAUCUUACUAGCAAUAGGCCUCUGAGCUUUAUUAGUCUGGCUCUAUAGGUUCCUAAGAUGCUGUUUCUUUAAAUCUGGUGUACCCUCCAAAAUCAUCAAAAAUAUUAAUAAUAACGAAAGAGUAGAUAGAGCUACCACUAAAUACUAAUGCAAAUAAUAUCUAACCACCUCCUGUCUCAGAGCUGGUCUCAGCUGUAAAAAAUGGUCGAAUACCCUAUAUAAAAAGUAAUAACAAAAAAUAAGCCCUAUAUACAGUAUGUACACGGCUAGGUAAGACCAUAUAGUGGAAGAAAGGUUAGGAGAUAUAGAACAUGGAUAUCAUGAUGCUUAGAAUGCUCAAUGGCAUAUCCAUGGAUAGGUUGUAACAUACAAGGCAGUCGUAGAGAGGAAUAUGGAGGAGACAGAUAGUAACAUAUACUGCAACUCAGUCUAAUAGUCUCAGUGAUACAUAGUCCCUCCUUUCCUAAAUGUAACUCUUAGACCGCUACAUGGGUAGCUCGAUAAAACAUAAUAUCUACUCAAUGAAACAUAGUAUCUACUUAAGUGAAAAAAAAAACAGUGACACACCUAAGUGCAAUGUCGUGUCUAGUGGAAGGUGUCCAUAAAACAAAAAUAGGUGAAAUGCCUGACACGCGUUUCGGUGCUAUGAGGUAAAGCACCUUCGUCAGAGGCAAACAAGCUACUGUUUGAAAGAAUUCUUAAAUACCUCAUUCUCCGGUAAAACCAUCGCGGGUCCUCCAAUCAAAUCCACGCCUUUCUAAAGGGUUUGAAAGGUGGGCAGGGCUAGCUUAGUCGCAUGGCACGAGUAAGGCGGUAUUAGGAUAAUACAUCUAUCCAAUUCCGCCCACUUGUCAGAUCAACUGCUAUAUGCCAUAUCAUGAAGUGCCUCCCACUGCAAUGUGGAAACAAAGCAACCACAUAAACAACAUUAUCCAUAUUGGCAAAAGCUAUAUGUUAAAUUAAAGACUAGAAAGCAUAUUCUUACUGAUAAUCAGAUUGGGUAUAUCAUUCUUGUACGUGCAACUAACCCACUCCAUUCGUGUACAUAAGGAAAACACUUAGAGGGUCAUGAUUUAAAUUACUGCCAUAAUGUGCAGCCACAGGCUGCUCAAUGUUUACUAGACAUGCCCCUACUCGCGGUAUAGCGAGUAGGGGCAAAAUUUACUAAUACUAAGUAAUUUUUACUUAGUAUUAGUAAAUUUGUCUGAAAGGCCAAUUUAGGUCUUUCAGCCUUUUGGUAGAUAACUCCCUAAUACCGUGGGAAUUAGGGAGUUAUCUACUAAGCGGCUGCAAAAGAAGUCCCACAGUGUCGAUGUCCCGAAAUGCCGAAGUGCCGAAGUUGUCGAAUUUCCGAAGUGUCGAAGUGCCGAAGUUCCGAAGUGCUGAAGUGCAGAAGUUCCGAAGUUGCCGAAGUUCCAAAGUGUUGGAGUGCCGAAUUGCCGAAGUCCCGAAUUGCGAAAGUCCUGAAUUUCGGAAUGCCGAACCGAAACAAAAAUUGUCCCCAUGCACAUGCCUAUUAUACAUCUGCUAUAUCUUGCACCGUCCACAUACUACCACACAGUAACUCUCCUCACGACCCUACCUACAUGGCCUACUCCUGGCCAAACGCACAGUAUGUUAUAAUUUCCUUAUAAGAGAUGUUCUCCUUACCUCUCUUAUUUUACUACGUCAGUCUAGCAUAUUGUCAAUUUACGAUGCGUGCAAUAUGCCACAUACAUUAUGACUCGUACUGAAUUACACGUGGGGCAUUUAAGUUUCCCUGGGUCGACCUUACUAGUCAGCCUCCAUCGUGCUUACAUAGCCAUUCCAUACUGGACUAUUCCCAUGUCACCGCCGCAUAUUAGAAGAGUUCAUAUACAUGAUAUGUAUACUGUCCUUCCCGCUUCCCUGGCUAUUUGACUGCUCGGGCAACCAUGGUACGAGUUACCACAUUAGCCAGGCACGUUCAAUGCCUAUUGUACUGCCUUACCCAGCAUCCAGGCUUUUAAGUAAUGCCAGCUUACAGGGUCAACCAUCACUUUAUCAUACCACUGCCAACUUUUAUUCACAACCACACUCUUUACAAGUUACAUACGUCCCACCAAAGGGCUAUCCACUAUAGCAUAAUAUCGGCUCCUCAUGUGGGCUAUUACAUACGGCAUAGGAAUUACAAUUUGGCAUAAGUUAUCACGUUUUCACAACCUACCACAGCAUGCCUCUACACAUGGCCCUCACUAGGCCAUCACUCGCACGUGACAUACGACCCACUGCAGGCAAUCCACUAUGACUCAAUUCAGCCCCACAGUUGGGCAGUCAUAUACGACCAAGGUCACGUUAGACCGCUCAAAUUCUCACUAUAUGGCCUUUCUCGGCAUGUACAACUCCAGUCACAGACACUUACGCAAUCUCCAAUAUUAGUUCCUGCUGGUAAACUAAAAUGUCCUACAUACUUCAUACACAUUUCAGGUUCUUCUAGCAGAAAGACGCCCAGCGGGAACUCACCUAGGCUCAAUAUAGUUAGUUGUCUCUUCCCUAUACAUAUAUAUGUCUUUAACUAGUCUUCAGUUUCAGGCGUUCAGGAAGUCCCUAACAAACGUCCUCAUCUAUAGCCACGAUCGCUCCCCAGCUCCAAGAAUUACAUAUGGAAUCAUAGAGUGGCUAAGUCACAGCAGGAAUUUGCACAGUUGGGCCCUCAAAGAAUACGCACACUGCUAUGAUAGAGCUUAAUGCAUAUAUCAAAGAUCGUGUCAGACCACCACCUUACAAACUGGUUCUAGAAUACAAUGUUGGGGGGCUUUCGCCACUUUUUGCCACAUCAAAACAAAUGUCACACAACACCAUUAAGUUAUAUCUCCCGGGCAUUCAACACCACAUGUUUUCAGUUACAAACACCAUGCUGAAAUCGCCAUAUACUUGGCUUUCAUGGUUUCCCACGACCAGAAAUUUACCAUCAUAGGGCAACACAAUUCCAAGCUUUGCCUACAGUAUUCUAACCUGUACAUCAACUAAGACCAGCCAGAGGGGUCACUAAACCACCAACGCAUACCUCCACCGACACAGGAGUUAAGGAAUGCAUUUGUGUAAUGUCACCGUAAUACGCUAACUCCAUGUCUUUUGUAAUAAACAUCUUUGAUUAUACUAUAUGGGUAUUCCUUUUUGCCCACUUAUUUACAGGCCUACCACACACGUCGGUUUCGGCACACCUCUACCGACUUUUUGUUAUUGGGAUAAGUAUAAUCACUAGCUAUUUCAUACUAUACUGAAAUGGCCCUGACCACAAAUUGGAAGGCUGGGCCUGAAGUUGUGGGAGGGGCUAUGUCCCUUUAAAAGGGACACCCCCUCAUACCUAACUUACCUACUGGUUCAGACAUACUUCUGGCCCACCAUCCUAUCCCUCUAUUCAAUACUCUAUUCAAUACUCUAUUCAAUACUAUUUAAGGUAAGCCCACUUAUUUACAGGCCUACCACACACGUCGGUUUCGGCACACCUCUACCGACUUUUUGUUAUUGGGAUAAGUAUAAUCCCUAGCUAUUUCAUACUAUACUGAAAUGGCCCCAACCACAAAUAUAGUAUAUAUCUUGCAUUUAUAUUAGACUACUGUAUACUUCCAGGCAAACGCAGCUAACCACGUUUGUCUUUUGGCAUUGUGACUAGCUUUUGUGUUUUCUUUCCUUUUUUAUUAAAUUGAUUCACCUGAUCAAAGUAUAAUUUUGCCUCUUUAUAAAGCAAUGGUAAUACCGCUUCUUGAAUAUGUGGUGCAAUUUUGGGAACCAGUUUUAAAGAAGGAUAUUGCAAAACUGGAAAAGUGCAGAGGUAAUCAGCAAAAUGAAUAAGGGGGUAGAAAACAUUAGUCAUGAGAAAAGGCUAGAAAAACUGGAUUUGUCUUCUGUAGCAAAAAGGUACCUCAGAAGGGAUGUGAUAGCACUAAAUAAAUAUACAUUGGGUCAGUGCAAUCACUAUGUGCUAACCUGUUCCUUAGAAGCAAUUUACAACAUACAAGAGGUCACCUUGAGGCUGCAAUAAAGGUGUUUUCACUUAAGCAGAGUAAAUGUUUUUUUUACAGUAAAAACAAAAAAAAUAUGUAAUUCUCUACCUAAAUAGGUUAUGCUAUCAGAUUAUAUAGAUAAUUUUAAAAAGGCUUGGAAGCUUUUUUGCAUACACAGAAUAUUUAAGGAUAUAAUUAAGUGCUUAAACAGGUUGUUGAUACAAGAAGAAAUCUGAUUGCCAAUAUUGAUAAUACAGAUCAAGGAACAGUGCACACAUUAAAUUACAUCUUUUAAAUUACAUAAGGCUACUUAAAAUUACCUAUCUUAGCAGACAAAUAUGGGGAUGCAGUUCCACCGUAUGGCUAUAUUGUGUUAAGCCCACAACUACUUCGCAGUACCCAAAUAUUGAUGGUUCCUACAAACUAAUUCAAACGUGGGAGACAAAUGAAAUAGUCUUAAAUGCGCAAAAGUGUAUUAUAAUAAUCUAUUGUAAGAGCAUUGUGAAUAUAUAAUGCAAAAGCUUUAAUAAACAUCAUUAAAAAAAUGCAGUGUCAAAACCAAACAAUUAAAGUAAUAGUACUUUGAUGUAUAUGCUCACAAUGCAUAUAUAUCAUACAGCCGCUCUAUGAAAUUUAUAAUUAAAGUGUAUACAUGUGCGAUUCGUUUCGUUAUGAAUGGUAAUUCGGACAAAUUUCGGGCAAUUCGGACAUUCGGAUACAUCCGAAUGUACGAAUAGCUGAAUUGCCGAAUUGCCGAAGUUCCGAAGUUCCGAAAUUGCCGAAUUUCCGAAGUGUCGAAGUUCCGAUGUGCCGAAGUUCCGAAGCACAGUAUUGCCCAAGUGCUAACAUACCUACCCAGUGGAAGAAUGAAGAAUGUUACACUGUAUACAAGUUUAAAUAAAAAGUAUACAAACAUAGCCAGGAUUCAGCUGUAAGCAUUUGCAACACUUACAACAAUCAAGUAACACACAUUCAUAUAAAAUGUAAGUUACUUAGCCUGUCAAUGGAAUGACAGGAAUGAAUAAGUAGAUAGCUACCUAAUUCCCACGGUAUUAGGGAGCUAUCUACUAAAAGGUUGAUAGACCUAAAUUGGUCUUUCAGCCAAAUUUACUAAUACUAAGUAAAGAUUACUUAGUAUUAGUAAAUUAUGCCCCUACUCGCUAUACCGCAAAACAAAAAAAAAAUUCCUCCCCCUCGCCCCACCCCUGAAUGGUGGGUGGGGGCCUUUAAGAAGAAUAAGGGUGGGACCUAUUGUCCUCCCCCCCAGCCCCCACCCCUAAGCAGUGGGUGGGGGCCCUAAAUAUCAAUAGGGGGGGACUUAUUGUCCUCCCCGGCCCCCACCACUGAGUGGUGGGUGGGGGCCCUAAAUUAGAAUAAGUGGGAGACUUAUUGUCCUCCCCCCAGCCCCCACCCCUAAGCAGCGGGUGAGGGCCUUAAAUUAGAAUAAGGGAGGGAGGACCUAUUGUCUUCCCCCCUGACCGCCACCCCUUAGCAGUGGGUGGGGGCCCUAAAUGCCAAUAAGGGGGGGACCUAUUGUCCUCCCCCACGGCCCCCCCUGAGUGGUGGGUGGGGGCCCUAAAUACCAAUAAGGGGGAACCUAUUGUCCUCCCCCCUGGCCCCCACCCCUGAGCAGUGGGUGGGGCCCUAAAUUAGAACUAGAAAAGCUACAAUUUCUGGGGAAAUUGUGUGAAGUGUUCUUGCCUCCACCAGUAGUCUACAACCGGAGUGGGCGGAGUAACUGUUAUCAUUUAUAUAGCACAUUUAAUUGCAACGUUGUUGCACAGUUACAUUAAACCAUACAUUUAUAAAAACAUUAGCAGGUGUUCAAAAGGCCCUGUCUAUGACAUCACUUGCUGCUGCAGCCUGCACAGGUCAGAGUAUUUUGGCGGUUGCCAUCUUCAAACGGUCGUAUUUUAAAAACUAUAAAUCCUACAGCGAAGAGCUUUAUAUUGUGAGAAUCACAAGACCCAGACCUACAUUUUGAUGCAUAGUAUGUCUCUGAAGUAUUAAAAAUGAAGGCACAGUCGCAGUUUAGAAAUUGCACUUCAAAUUUGAGCUUUGUAGAGUGAAGUUUCAAUGAAUGUCAAUGGACGGCGUUAGUUGCAAACAAAUGAUUAUAUUGUGAAAACUAUCAGGACUAUGGCUUAGCCGUUGACAUGUUUAGUGGCAGCAGGGAUAGCUGAACGUUUUGAUAUAAGAUUUGUGUAGGUGGGCCUGAAAAUAAGGGAGUGGUGGCAGUUUAGAAAUCAUGUCCUGAUUUUCAGCUUUUGCCAGCUCCCACUCUAGCUUUGCCAUUCAUUCCUAUGGGACAAAUUUCGCCACAAGAACGACGAUAUUCCGUGAACCAUUCGGCGAAACGUUCCACAAAGUAAUAGCAAUCCGAUCGGGAACAAUCUGCACGUUUUGGUAAAUUUUUGUCUAUGUAGUAUAAAAACUGUGGGAGGAGUUAGGGUGGCAAAUUUGGCUAUAAUAAGAAUAAUAAUGUAUAUGUGAGAUAACAAUAAGUGGUCUUGCUAUGCAAGAACACUUAAUAAGGGGGAGGACCUAUUGUCAGUGGCGGGUGGGGUUCCUAAAUAAAAAUGUAACCCCCCAGGUGACUAAAGGUCCCCAAACCCCUAGUCAACCCCUCCCCAACAAAAUAACCCCUACUUACCCCCCUCACCCUAAAAGUAAUGAGGGGGGACCAUAAACUAGAUACCUGUAAAAAGAAAACUUACCAUUCGAUGUCUUCUUUCUUCUAAAAUCUUAUUUUUUCACCCCCAAAAAAGGCCAAAUAAAAAUCCAUAAUAACCGAUGCAAUUUGGAAAAAAAAAAAAACAGAAAAAAAAUAAUCCAUCUUCACCCAUGGAGGGCUCCGCGCAGACUGAGCUCUGCAGGGCGGGGGAAGGCUUUUGAAGCCUUGCCCGCCCUGCAAUAAGGCUCAGAGCACUCUGGUUGGUUGGUUUAAGCCAUCCAAUCAGAGUGCUCUGACAGGUAAAUGAAGAGACUGACAGGUAAGUCUCUACAUUUACUUGUCACAGCACUCUGAUUGGUUAGCUUAAAAUCCAGCCAAUCAGAGUGCUCUGUGUCAUUUUACACAGUGUGGGAAAGUUCCAAUCAGAGUGCUGUGACAGGUAAAUGUCUCUUCAUUUACCUGUCAGGGCACUCUGAUUGUAUGGCUUAAACCAACCAACCAACCAGAGUGCUCUGAGCCUAAUUGCAGGAUGGGGCAAGGCUUUAUAAGAUUUUCCCUGCCCUACAGAUCUCAGUCUGCGCGGAGCCCUCCAUGGGUGAAGAUGUAUUUCAAUUUUUUUGCGCUCACGUUUUUUUUUAAUUUUUUUUUUCAAAGUGCGUCGGUUAUUAUGGAUUUUUGGCCUUUUUUGGGGGCUGAAAUGAGAAUAAUUUAUAAGAAAGAAGACAUCAAAUGGUAAGUUUUAUUUUAAUUUUUACAGGUAUCUAGUUUAUGGUGCCCCCUCAUUAUUUUUAGGGUGAGGGGAGUAGGUAGGGGUUAUUUUUUUGGGGAGGGAGUGACUAGUGGUUUGGGGACCACUAGUCACCUGGGUGGAAGGUAAAAUUUUUAUUUAUGGCCCCCACCUGCCGCUCAGGGGUGGGAGCCGGGAGGAGGACAAUAGGUCCCCCCCUUAUUCUAAUUUAGGACAAUAGGUCCCCCCCUUAUUAUAACUUAGGGCCCCUACCCACCGCUCAGGGAUAGGUAUUGAGGCAUAGUUUAAAAAAGCUUAAUUUACCAACUCUUAACUUAGAACAAAAAUCUAAAAUAGAAUCUCCAUUUAGUACUGAAGAUGUUCAAAAAGCAAUAGCCAGAUUAAAAAAUAAUAAAUAUCCAGGACCAGAUGGUUUUUCUAAUCUAUUUUAUAAAAAAAUAUCAAUGCUUAUAUCUCCACAUCAUUCUGAUACAUUUAAUGAAAUUAAACUGAAAAAAAUCUUCCCUAACAAAAUGUUACAAGCCAAAAUAGUGCCCAUCCCAAAAGAAGAUAAAAGAGUUAUGAACUACACCCUGUUCCAAAUUAUUAUACAAAUUAUAUUUUUCUCAUUUACCUAAAUAUUGAUGUAAAUAACAGUCAGCAUAAUUCUCAUCUUAUCAACUAUUAAGAGUACAAUUUAAAUUUUAUAGAACAAACCUCCUAAUGAUAACAGUAUUUUUUUAAAUAUAAAAAACUUACAAUUCACUGUUCCAAAUUAUUACACACGGUAAGUUUAAAAACACUUUAUAGGUUGUAAAGAACUGAAAAUUGUCAUUUGUUGUGUUUGCAGCAUAUUUACUGAAAUCAAAAGCUAUUUCAAUCAAACUUAUAACAACAUUUUAACUUUGCAAACAUUUCAACAGGUCACGUUACAUUUUAACAUAGGACCCCUUAUUUGAUAGCAGCUUCACAAGUCUUGCAUCCACUGAACUUGUGAGUUUUUGGACAGUUUCUGCUUGAAUUUGUUUGCAAGAUGUCAGAAUAGCCUCCCAGAGCUGCUGUUUGGAUGUAAACUGCCUCCCACCCUCAUAGAUCUUUUGCUUGAGGAUGCUCCAAAGUUUCUCAAUAGGAUUGAGGUCAGGGGAGGAUGGAGGCCACACCAUGACUUUCUCUCCUUUUAGCCCCAUAGCAGCCAUUGAUGCAGAGGUAUUCUUUGCAGCAUGAGAUGGUGCAUUGUCAUGCAUGAAGAUGAUUUUAUUACGGAAAGCAUAGUUUUGUACCAGGGAAGAAAGUGGCCAGUCAGAAACUCUACAUACUUUGCAGAGGUCAUCUUUACACCUUCGGGAACCCUAAAGGGGCCGACCAGCUCUCUUCCCAUGAUUCCGGCCCAAAACAUGACUCCACCGCCACCUUGCUGACAUCGCAGCCUUGUUGGAACAGGGUGGCCGCCCACCAGCCAUCCACUACUCCAUCCAUCUGGACCAUCCAGGGUUGCACGGCACUCAUCAGUGAACAGGACUGUUUGAAAAUUAGUCUUCAUGUAUUUUUCUGCCCAAUGCAGCCGUUUCUGAUUGUGAGCAUUGGUUAGUGGUGGCUGAAUAGAAGGUUUAUGCACAGUUGCAAGACUCUGGAAGACUCUACACCUUGAUGUCCAUAGGACUCCAAAGGCACCAGCAGCUUCAAAUAUCUGUUUGCUGCUAUGUAAUGGUAUUUUAGCAGCUGCUCUCUUGAUCUGAUGCAUGGAUCUGGCAGGAAUCUUCCUCAAUGUGCCUUUAUCUGCACAAACCCGUCUGUGCUCUGAAUCAGCCACAAAUCUCUUAAUAGUGCGAUGAUCACGCUUACGUUUUUGUGAAAUAUCUAAUGGUUUUAUACCUCGUCCAAGGCAUUGAACUAUUUCACUCUUUUCGGCAGCAGAGAGAUCGUUUUCUUCCCCAUAUUGUAUGAAAAUGGUGCUCUGCCUAAUAAUGUGGAACACCCUCCUUUAGUAGUUUUUCCUUAAAUUGGGCUCCCCUGGCAAUCUAAUUAUCACAGGUGCCCGAGAUUGUUUUCAGUGAUCAAAAGAGCCCUGAGACACAAUGCCAUCCAUGAGUUAAACUGAAAAACAAAAUAUUUAAUCUUUGUGACACUAGAAUUUGGAACAGAGUGUCACGAUUAGGGGAACCAAACACGCCAACAAACACACACACACAAAGUGCCGUACCGGACCUUAGAGUGGCCGGGCUAAGCACACAAAGAAUAGUCAGGAAACAAGCCGAGUAAGGGGAACCAGAAGACAGAAUAACGAUAGACAAGCCGAGGUCAAAGGGUAGGAGAAAGUCACAAAGUCGGAUAACAAGCCAGGGAGUACGUAACCAGAAGCACAAGUUCAGAAUCAAUACUAACAAGCAAAGACCACAACAGGGCGAAGAGGAACAGGAAAGGUAAGUAUAUAAAUCCAAAGGUUAAUUCUGAUUGGAUAAUUUCCAAUCAGAAUUAACAAUCACACGUGGGAGAUAUCUAAACCUCCCACUGUGAUUGAGGCACUGUGCCUUUAACGCCGGGUCAGGUGACUGACCGCGGCGUUGGUUAAAGUGGGCGGUCUCCCAGCGUGCAGCGUCAUGCAUGCUGCCGCUGGGAGACACAGAGGAAGAGGCGGACGGCACCCGUGGGAGAGAGGGUGCCGCCCGCCGAGCACACGGCCGAAGGGGAACCGCGGACGGCUGGAGGGUGAGUGCCGCGAGCAGACUGCAGCCUCCCCUCGCAGCCGCCCUCAGGACCCUGACACAGAGUGUAUAGGCCUAUAUCACUUAUUAAUUGUGACACAAAAAUAUCUUCUUCAAUACUCGCUGAAAUAUUGAAAGGAAUAAUUCCACUUUUAAUACAUCAAAACCAAGUGGGAUUUAUACAAAAUAGAUAUGCAAGCAAUAACACCAGGAAAAUCAUAGAUAUAAUAGGUUAUAUUGGGUCUAAAAGAAUCCCCAUGCUGGCCCUGUCAUUAGACACUGAGAAAGCAUUUGACAGGGUCAGCUGGGUUUUCUUACAAGAAGUAUUAAAAGUUAAGAAAUUUUAUGAUGGAUGCAAUAAUUGCUAUAUAUUCCUCACCAACUGCAAUAAUAUCAGGUCAAGGAUUUUCAACAAAAAGUUUUAAAAUAAAAAAUGGCACUCGUCAAGGCUGCCCAUUAGCUCCAAUGUUAUAUAUCUUAACUUUAGAGCCUUUACUUCAAAAGAUAAGACAAGACAAAAGGAGUGAAAAUAAAUAAUCUAGAAUGUAAAUUAUCUGCAUAUGCAGAUGACAUCAUUUUAACAAUUACAUCUCCUAAAACAUCGGUUAAUACUCUGUUAGAAACCUUAGAUGUAUACGGGAAGAUUUCUAAUUAUAAAUUAAAUAUAGAAAAAACCCAAGCUGUAACAUAUAUCAUGGAUCCUGAAAAUGUGGCUUUACUAAAACAAACUUAUGCCUUUCAAUGGCCACAGGAAGGGUUAAAAUACUUAGGCAUAAUGGUCCUUAAAAAAUUAGUAAACUUGCGGAAGUCAACUUUGCACGUCUAAUUAAAGAAUUAUCCCAGAAACUAAAGAUCUGGAAAAAAAAACAUCUGUUUCUUGGAUGGGUAAAAUAGAUGUAAUUAAAUCACAUAUAUUACCAGCCUGGUCCUAUAACUUUAGGAUGAUCCCAUUAGUAGCACCGUGUAAAUAUAUAAAAAAGUUUCAAAUACUUGUAGAAAGGUUUUUAUGGGUCAAUAAAAGACUGCAUAUAUCUAGAUAUCAUUUAUAUCGGGAAAAAAAAUCAGGGAGGCAUGAACUUUCCAGAUAUUUCUGGUUAUUAACAACCAAAUAGUCUUACUCAGGUUCAUCAAAUACAAAUAACAUCUAAAAAAAAAUCAAGAUUGGUAAAAAAUAGAGCCACAUUUAACAAAAGUUGAUCAUUUGGAAACUCUAUUAUGGUGUAAACAAACAGAACUAAACAAAAUCUUCUUGAAAGCUGAUUGUAUAGUCUUGACACAUAUUUUGGGAGAAUGUUCUCAAUUUAAGAAGAAAGUGUGAAUACUAGAUAAAUGCGCAAUGACCACUCCAUUAGAAACCUUGGAAUGUAAUAUUAUGGAUUUUAAACUUCCACAGAGUCUCCAAAUGAAAAAACUAAGAAUUCAAGACUUAUAUCAUUUAAAAAAUUUAAAGCUCAAAUCCAGCUACAACAAGAGUUUGGGUGUACAGUGAAAGAAUACUUAUCAAUAAUUAGAAUUAAAUAUUAUGUUAGAUCUAAUUUAUUUGAGAUUUCAGAAAAAAAAUUUAAAGAUCAAUUCAAAAGAUUGAUGUACAAUAAUUUGAACAAAAAAAUAGUGAAAGCAUGGUAUGACUUACUUGAAUUCAGGUUACCCACAAUAAAAGUUAAAGCCCUAGAGGCAUGGGGAAGGGAUAUACCAAUCCAAAUAGAUAAGGAACAAUGGUGAGAAAGCUUGUCUCAAGUAGGAAAGAUAACUCACUGUCUGUCAUUACAGGAACUUCAUUUCAAAGUAGUAUACAGAUGGCAAAUUUAGAGCUAAAGAAAAUCCCUUAUGCUGGAGGUGUUAAAAACAGCUUGAUAACUUGAUACACAUGUGGUGGUCCUGUGAAAAAAAUUUAAAACACAUGGCUAAAAAUCUUCACUUUAAUUUCAGAACUGACGGGCACAUGGAUUCCAAUAAUACCCGAAACCGCUCUUUUCCACUUUGGAUUAAAUAAUCUGAGUCUUUCUAAUAAGGCUCUAACAAUACAAAUAUUACUCGCAAUGAAAAUAACAAAAGCAAGGCAAUGGAAAAACCAAGGGGAAAUAGAAUGGUUAAGGAUUAAAAAUCAGAUGUAUCACCAAUGCCUUACGGAAAAAGGAUAUUAUUUAGCGAGACAUAAAGUGUUCUUACAGAAAAUCUGGGAUAAUUGGUUAGCUAAACAAAUUUAAGGAAAGCUAAAGUAUUCAGAUAUAUGGAAUUUCCCACUUUAAAUUAAAAAAGGAGAAAAAUGCGGGGGAAAAGGAAAGAGAAAAUCAAUCCUACAUCCUAAUCUUUAUUAAGAUUGAAUAAACAUGUUAUUACAAAAAAAGUAUACAUGCUUAGAAGAUUAGAUCAUCUAUAAUAAUUAAUACAUGCUUAGAAGAUUAGAUCAUCUAUAAUAAUUAAUACAUUAAUAAUUAAGCAUUCCUUUUCUAACCAUUUAAAUAUUUUCAAAAGGAGGAAUAAGACAGGGAAAUAAGAUGGUUAAAGCUUGAUAGAAAAUAGUGGGAGUGCCCAAAGAAUAUCUACAAUGCCCUGAAGAAACGAAAUUUGUCAGCUCUAAUUAUACCUGAAAAUAUACAAUUUCAGAAAAAAAAAAUUGAAAAAAGGGGGGUGGGGUUCCAUGCCAAGUUAAAGUUGUUGUUUUGUUGUUCUGUCUCAACUGAAUUAUUUAAAAAGAAAGAGGAAAAGUACAAGGGAAAAGAGAUAGAAAGAAAGAAAGAAAAAAUAAAAGGAAAAUUAUUAAAGGAGGGAGAGAGAGUGUAUAACUCGAUAUACUUUUAUAUAUUCAACUUCAAAAAACUAAAUAAUCUGUUUAUAUUUUAUGUGUAAUGUCAAAUAAAAAAAAAUAAAAAAGAAGACUCUUAACUGACCUCAGUUUUCUUGCCUUUCAAUUAUAUAAGCAUUAGGAUGUCGUGACGCCCCAUUACAGAACUUCAUUUCUUAUGGGGACAAGUAUGUAUGUGUCACAGCCCAGGCUCGCCGCGAGGUGCGGUAUCACCCGUCCGGCACGACCACACCAGCGAACUGAGCUUACCUGCUCAGUGGUGAGUCGGGAGCCGCUCCGCCGGCUUCUCCUGGCCGCCUGCCCUAAAGAAAAAUGGCGCCGACCACUUACAGGCCAUUUAUAAGCCCGUCGACGCACAUGCACGUUCUGGGGUCAGAGGUCACUCUCUGACCAAUCACAGUCAAAGGAGGGAUGUUUAAAUCCCUGAAGCUACCCAGUUCAUUGCCCUGUUGUGGUUUCCGUUCCUGGUUCCCGAAAGUGCCUUUUCUGUUUCUAUAAUUGCUAUUCCCGGUAUAUUGACCUUGGCUAUUCCUGACUAUUCUGAUUUCUGGUUUCCCUGACUUGGCUUGUUUAACAGUAUUGUGUAUUUCUGGCUUCCUUGAUCUCGGCUAUCCCUUGACCAUUCUCUGUCUUUAACGUAUUAGUCCGGCCAUUCUAAGGCUGGUUUACGUUCUGUCUUUUUCCAUUCUUUUUCUAUGUAAAUGUUACAUAGUUCUGCGUGCUGGACCACACUAGCAGUCGUGACAGUAUGGCAUAGGGGAGGAGGGCACCCUCCCCUAUCCCAUAUUGGAUUUGUGUAAUGUAUUUGUAGUCCUAUGUUACGGACCUCAAGUGUAUGUGUUUAAUGUGUUUAAUGUCUUCUUUUGUGAUGUGUGCGUUUGUGAUGGGCGGAGCAAUGGUAAAAUAGAAAGUAAAUUGAUGGAUGGAGGGAUUGGUUAAGAUAAUGACACUGAAUGUGCAGGGUUUAAAUCCCCCCCCCCCCAAACAAGCUAUGUUUAAUGAAUAAUUAUAUAGGGAGCACGUGGAUAUUUGUUGUAUUCAAGAAACUCAUAGGAAGGGAUGUGAUUUUCCGACUAAAUAAUAAAAAAUACACUGUUAUAGAACAUUCAUCCCUAAGGAGGGGGAAAAAUGUGGUGUAGCCAUUCUUGCCUCAAAUAACAUAAAAAAUUGAGAAUAUAUAUAAACAGAGUGAUGAGAUGGGUAGAUUCUCUUUUGUAGUUUGUAAAAUCAACGAUAGAAUAUAUUCUAUAUUAAAUAUAUAUGCUCCAAAUACAAAGCAAAUACAUUUUCUGAAUAAAAUCCUAUAAAAAGUAAAUGUACUUGUUAAUGGAACCUUUAUAUGCUGCAGUGAUUUUAACUGCAUUGCAGACUGUAAUUUGGAUUUGCAUAAUAUAAGGAAUCGUGAAUAGAGUAAUAGACAGGUUAGUCUCGCAAAAGCCUUUCAAGACACACUGGGUCACUAUGAAUUAUUUGAUAAAUGGAGAACUAUCAGACCAAUGGAUAAGGAAUAUACUUUUUAUUCAAAUAGACAUCAAUCUUUCUCAAGAAUUGACAUGAUACUAAGAAAAGCAGGAUAAAUUUAAGACUGUAAAAAAAUAGAAAUUAAAAAUGUGGUAUGGUCAGAUCAUGGCUGAAAGCCAAAAACUAAAUGUAUAUAUGUAGCCCAAAUUCCUACGAGAAGCAAAAGCGGUAAAACAUACUCGGGAUCCGAGACUAUGUAAAUCAGGGUCAGGGGCACUUGGCGAUCCAGAGACUUUAUACUUAUAUUCACUUUAUCUUUCAUUAAGAAUUGAUUUACAUAGUCUCGGAUCCCAAGUAUGUUUUACCGCUUUUGCUUCUUGUAGGAAUUUGGGCUACAUAUAUACAUUUAGUUUUUGGCUUUCAGCCAUUUCUCUAGUCAGAUUGAAUUAACAAGUUCGGAAUGGAUAGCCCUUUUUUUUCCCACAGCAAUAACAGUUUCACAUUAUCCACAGAGGCUGCAUUCUGUGUUUCCUACAGCAGCGCUUAUUAUAGCUGAUGAUCAUACACCAAGCGUUCUGGCAGAUAUAUUUUAUGUGUUUUGAAUACAUCGUUGAACAUAUACUAUUCAGAUAAAGGUUCUUGUAACCUUUUUGAACAGCCCCCUUUUUUAUUUAUAUUAGCCAGUUCACUUCUGUUACUGUUUUAUUAGGGAAGCCAGAACUUACAUUUUUUUCUUCUAGCCGUUGCAGAAUUGUUAAAUUGUGGUCUAUUAUAGAUGGGUUACAUUAUUACACUGAGAUAACCAUUGUAUCACCUGCAUAGUAAGUGCUACUUGAUUUGGCCCCUGAGGAUUGCAAAAUUUUGUUUUGCACACUCUAUUGGGUGAAGGUUUCUGAAAACUUUUGAACAGAACCUUCCAAUGACUAUAUACAUUUUAGUCACUACUAGUUAAUUUCUCUGCACCAUUUGUGUUCAGAACUUCAAACUUGGAAUAUUUACACUUGAGUUAUUAACAUAGUUCACUGUUUUGUAUAUACUUUGGUUUAUUGUUUGUAUUUUAUUUUUUACUAAUACAUUUAUUAGGUCCCAGGAUAUUACACUGCACUUUAAUCGUUAAAAAAAAUUUAAUUUUUUUUUUUUAUGUAUUAUUAUGUAUACACAUUUAUGUAGCUAGUGGUAAUCACUAGCUAUUGUAGUCUGUGAAACGAUUCAGUGCAGAUAUUACCAGAUAAGGUUUUGUAACAGUUUAAAAUAGGAUCUAUAUCAGCCCUAUACUUCUUUAAAGAGUCUUUAGGGUUCCCCAACAUAUUCUCAGACUGACAAGUUACCAAUUAGAGAAUAUAAAUACAUUGAUUAACUAUUAUACUUUUGAAUAUUAGAAUGUAUAUACUUUAGUUUAUUAUCAUUCCUGGGAAUAUCAUUCCUAUUAAGAAAACUCACACUAGAUUUUAGUAUUACUAUUAAAAGUUAUAUUUUAAUAAGUUAGGAUACUCAUUUCUUCUUUUGUUUAUCUAAUAGAAUAUAUAUGCUAUAAUAAAAUACCAUCUAUAUUUAUCUCCUUAGAUGCGGAAAAGGUCUUUGACAGAGUCAGUUGGAACUUUUUAGAAGAAGUACUCAGAAAUUCUGGAUUUGGAGAGGUCUUUACUGGCUCUGUCAGGGUCCUAUAUACCAACCCAACUGCAUAAGUUAUUGGACAGGAUUUGAGAUCAGAAUGGUUUUAGUAUACAUAAUGGAACCCGACAGGGUUGUCCCCUUGCUCCUAUGCUAUAUAUUCUAACAUUAGAACAUUUUGCUGCAAGGAUAAGACAUAAUCUAUAUAUUAUAGGUAUUAAGAUAGGGGACCUGGAAAGCAAACUUAGAAAUUGUAUGUCCAAGGAUGGUAUUAAAACUCCAAUACAGAUUCUUAAUGAAUAUGCACUUAAAGAGUCGGGAUAUUUUAACUCACUCAGAUUGUGGCAUUAAUUAAAGUCUCAUAUAUAUAAUAGCAAUAGAAAUAAAAUGGCCCGGGGGGCGGAGCUAGCGCCCAGCGAGAUCGGACGCACGACUGCAGCUCUCCCGGUCGGGUAACACUACCGGCUUAAAUACUGCCGACAUCAAGCCUCACACGACCCGGCCGACGGUCGGAAAGAGAAGCCACACAGAUGGGGAGGAAAAAUAAAAAAACGCGGGCGGAUCAGCCGCGGUUUACAGCGGACAUAGGAGACCUGCUGAGGAGACCGCAUGGCGCGGCCGGAUCCAAUAUGGCGGCUGAAUACGACGACUUCACUGACAGCUCAGAAGAGGUCCCUUUACACAGCCCAGGUACGCUAGGGUAUAAAGGGCCCCCCAAACCUCCACAGCAGACAGCAGGCUCCUCUCACCCGGUCACCACGGAGGUAAUUACUAACCUCCUCACGGACCUCCGCCAAACGCUCUCCACUGAAAUAACCCAGGUGAGGGAAGACAUCAGGGGGUUCACUGCCCGCCUUACUGCAGUGGAACAGACCUCCCAAACAACCUCAACACAGGUCCUGGCACUACAGAGGCAGGUCACCGACCUGACAGCUGCUCACACUACUCUCACCCACCAAUUAGCAGCUAUGGAAGAUAAACGAUGGUGGAAACAUGUAAAAAUCAGGGGCCUCUCUGAUGGAGUUCUCCCAGCAGGAUUGCCUCACUUUCUGCGAAGGCUAUUCACGGCCCUCUUAUCCCCUAGGCAAGCCAAAGGAAUACAACUAGAUGGGAUGUUCCGCCUGCCCAAACCAUCAAUAUCCUCAAGCGCAACUACCAGCGACCUACUGAUUAAGUUCCAAAACGGUCAAGACAGAGCAGCCUUCAUGAGUGCCACCAGGGGGAAAAACCCCUAUAGAUUUGAAGAUAUGGAACUGUCGUUUUACUCUGACCUCUCCCGCAAUACUCUGCUCUGGAGGAAAUCCCUCCGUCCGCUGACGACUACGCUGGCAGCUAGGGGAGUGAAGUACCGCUGGGGACCUAUGCAUGUACUCCUCAUUCAGUACCAAGACACUGAAUAUAAGGUGGCGGACAUUUCGGAAAUGGACACUGUCCUAGCGGCCCUGGGCCUCACAGCACCAUUCCCCUCUACAACCUGGGACCCAGCGAAAACUGUCCCGUUCAUCCCCGCUUCAGAGGGAGGACCUGGGAGGGAGAACACUGACUCAUAAGCCUAUACAUUCUUUAUAUGUUACUACUCUCUAUGUUGGGCUUAGCCCUCUGUUAAAUGUUGACUAUGUGACAAACGUUUAGAACACUACACAAAGUUGUAACACAACUACACACAGAGGCCAAACACGGCCAACACUGUGAAUUACCCCGGACACACUGGCUCCUUUUUAAUAACUACCCCCCCCCCAGCUCCCAUCAUAUGCAUCCAUCAUACACACUCCACGGAGGAGCUGUACAUGCACGCAUUCGGACGCAAAUCAACCAACCCAACCAAACACCACGCUCACUACAACAAGAGCCAUGUAUUCACCCUCUAUUAAGAACUACAUACUGGAGCUACCAACAUGGCUUAAGGCUCUACCUUACAUACACACAGAGGUACACGACUCAACCACCUACAACCCACACACCACUCAUAAGAGUACAGUCCCAGCACACCGGGGUCAACCGACCAAUUCAUCUCUGAGCCAUCUGACAUAUACUCUACAUAAAUCGCAACACAGUACCUAUACUACAAUACUCUGCCUACUACUCUUCUCAUAUAUAUAUAAAAAUGUGCAAAGUUAUUCCUGCCAUACAAUUGUAUUUACAUGUCUACCCAAACCCUGGCGAUAGCUGUUGUGGCAUCGCUAGAAAACUGUUACAUGUAUAAUCUAUGCACGAAAAAUAAAGAAUUAAAAAAAAAAAAAAAAGAAAUAAAAUGGCCCAUAAGAUUCUAAAUAUUUUUAAUAAUGCGUUUGUGAAAAAAGAAAUGGCAAGAUGGUAUAGAUAUAGAAUAUUAGAAGAUAUGGAUGAAACAUUCAAUUUAAAACCUUAUGAGAGUUGGUAAAGGGAACUGGAAUACCGUUUAAAUCUAGAAGAAUGGAUCAAUAGCUUAGUCGGAGUUAAUAAAAUUACUCAUUGUUUAAAUAUGGUUGAGUUACAUUAUAAGAUUAUGUAGGAAUAUCUAAAAAUGAUGUAGAUUAAAAAUGUCUUAAUACAGGGCUUCUAAUGUUUUGGGACACAUGUCCUUAAAACAAUUCCAAGUCAGAAGUAUGUAAAUAUAAUUUACUGCAGAUUUAGAUAUAAACAUACUAUUAAAAACAUAAUAAUGGUAGUAAAAUUUCAUUAAAUGAAUACAUAUUUUGUACAAAUACAAAAAAACAUAAAAAUAAUAAAAUACUAUAAGUGCAGACAACUAAAAAAAUGCACAUAUGUUUUAUAAAUCCUUAAAAUAUUUAUAAAAUAUUGGACAGUUUUAAAUUAGCAUUUGAAGCAAAAGGAGCUAACAUUUUUAAAUUAUAAAUCCCAAAACAAUUCUUGAUUAGUUAAUUUUUUAACUAAAUCUCCUCCCCUCCAAGGUGUGUUCACUAAUUGUAUACCACAGUAUUUAAGGGUUUUGGGAUCGCUGUCAUGGAACUCCAUAAAGUGCAUUGAUAGAGUGUGGAUGUUGUUAGUUUUAUUUUAAAUUCUAAUUGCCAUUAUGCCCCAUGGCUGAAUAAUGUACCCUUAGGACAAUUCCAAAGAAUUAAGAAAAAUUGUACAGAUGGGGAUAAAAUAAUAUAUGUGCAUUUUUGUUAGUUGUCUGCACUUAUAGUAUUUUAUUAUUUAUUUUUGUAUUUGUACAAAAUAUGUAUUCCUUUAAUGAAAUUUGACUACCAUUAUUAUGUUUUUAAUAUUAUGUUUAUAUCUGAAUCUGUAGUAAAUUAUAUUUACACAUAUAAGGAAGAAUACAUAUUUCUGACUUGGAAUCGUUUUAAGGACAUGUGUCCCAAUACAUUAGAAGCCCAGUAUUGACUUUUUUAACCCCUUAGUGACCCGGCCGUUUUUCAAUUUUCUUACCGUUUGGGACCAGGGCUCUUUUUACAUUUCUGCGGUGUUUGUGUUUAGCUGUAAUAUUUCUCUUACUCAUUUACUGUAUCCACACAUAUUAUAUACCGGUUUUCUCGCCAUAAAAUGGUCUUUCUAAAGAUACCAUUAUUUUCAUCAUAUCAUAUAAUUUACUAGAAAACAAAAAGUAAGAUUUGAUGAAAUUUUUUUAUUUAUUUUUUAAACACACUUUUUCGAAAUUUAGGCAUGGAUUCUCAACUCCUGUUAGGUGUUACUGCCAAAGAACCCUCCAGUAUGUGUUAAGCAACAUUUCCUGAGUACAGUGAUACCACCCAUGUACAGGUGUGUCAGGUUCUCUGGGGGCUAAAAUACCUUAUUUGGAGGGUGCGCAUUCCAGUUUUCCAACUUGGAAUUUUCACAGCUAGCCAUCAUGCACUCAUGUCCCAUUUGGGACAAUUUUGAGGCCGGCCAAUGUAAUUUACCCCAUCAAACCAUAUGUUUUUGAAAAGUAGACACCCUAGGGUAUUUCAAAUGGUGGUAUUUUAACACUUUCCAUGCACUAAUUCUACCACUAGUCUCUGUCAAACCUUUAGGUAGUCAUUUUUUUGUGUUAAUUUUCACACACAUUCUACUUUAGGCAUAGAUUCUCAGCUCCUGUUAGGUGUUACUGCCAAAGAACACCCCAAUAUGCGUUCAUAUAUAGGUUUUUUGGGUUGUUUGGGGGGUGCAAAGCCAAACGUCUGACAUGUGUUUUUCAAAUUUUACAUUUCUUUGCCUAUCUUCUUUUUGGGGGCCUUUUCAGAUAUCCCAAUUUAUUUUCUUGCCAUGAGCGUGCAUAUAUUUCAAAAGUUGACACCCCACAGUAUUGUAUAUGGAGUGUUUUCAUGCCUUUGAUGCAAUCGUAUUAGUCAAAAAAUUGGAGAAAGUGUGUGGUGGUAAUUGUUCAAUUUUCAUUUUUACACACACAUUGCUUUUUGACUGUGAUUUAGGAGAGCCCGUUGUUGGUUAUUGCAAGAAAACACCCCAGUUUGUUUUUUGCAAGGCCUCCUGAGUACACCCAUGCCCCCCAUGCAUAGGUUUGCCUGGAUUUUGGAAAGGUACAGUUACAAUUGUAUAACUUGCAAUUUGAGUUGAAAUUGAGAAUAUUUAUUCUGAUAGGCAUAUCUUUAGCUUGGGGCUUAUCACAUAUCCCAGUUUUAUUUAUUGCCAUGAAAGUGUAUAUAUUUGAAACGUAGACACCCGAGGUAUUGUAUAUGGAAUGCUUUGAUGCAACUGUUUUAGCCCAAAAAAAUUUAAGAAAGUGUGUGGUGGUAAUUGUUCAAUUUUCAUUUUUACACACACAUUGCAUUUUGAAUGUGAUUUAGGAGAGCCUGUUGUUCGUUAUUGCAAGAAAACACUCCAGGUUGUUUUCUGCAAGGCCUCCUUAAUACACACAUGCCUCCCAUGCAUAGGGUAAAUGUUAAAAAAAACAAAAAAAACUGAAAGGCAAAUGUUAUAGACAAUUACAAAUGGACCAGUGUGUGGUAUCGCUUGAAGCAGUCCCCAAUGCAGAGUCCAGGCUGUCCAGGGCAAUCAGGACAGUGAUAUACAGCAUAUUUUCUCUGUCCCCUCUUAAAACAGACUCUGCAUCUUUUUGGGGGAUUUUAAAAAUAAAAUGUGUAGCCCCAACUCUGCUCUCUCCCAUCACCGCCCGGGGAGCAGGUGCAUCACGGUACAAAAUCCCUGAAAGGAUCUGGAGCUGAAACUGUAAAAAGCUCAGUUACAUCCCGGGGUUUGCUUUUUUGAACAACAAAAAAGGAUUGUGGUUUGCAAUCUGCAUUAUGUAGAUUGCAACCUUUUUGUACCAGGCCCUUGUCUUUCGUAUAAUUAGGUAGGGCUGUAGCAGCUGAUCUGCCAGAUCAACCCCACCCAUAUGCCGGUUAUAGGUCUUGAUGCACACUGGCUUCCUUGUGCUCUCAGCUCUGCCACGUACAGAGACCUACAUAGUCCCCUCAGUGUGGAUGGUGGUAAAAAGUACACAUACUUCUUGUCUCGGUACUUAACUGCCAACAGCUCCUCCUAUGAAAACAUUACAGUAGCUUGAACAAAGGGACACGUGUAUAAAAAUUGUCAGUAUACAAAUGGUACCCUUUGUUCAUCAGGGGGAAUAUCAGAUCCCAGACAAUCUUGCCACUGGUUCCCAUAUGUUCUGGGAAACAUGGAGGGUCAAGGUGGCUAUCCUUUCCCUCGUACACCCGGAAGGCCUGAGUAUACCCAGUCUCGCUAUAACAGAGCUUAUACAUCUUUACACCAUACCUAGAGCGAUUGGAAGGAACUUGAAUCCCAGCCGCUUGAAUCCCAGCCUUCCUUUAUACUUCAUCAGGGAUUCAUCCACGCAUAUAUUCCUUCCAGGUUGAUAAGCCUCUGCAAACCUGGCAUCAAAGUGGGUAAUCAGGGCAUGGAUUUUAUACAGCCUGUCAAACUGGGCAUGCUCCCUAGGGGGGACAGGCUGUUGUCGCUGAAGUGCCUGAAAUGCAGAAUGGGGGUAGAGCAGAUGGGGCUACUGCUCCAUUAGGAGCGGAUGGAGGGCUUCUUUAUGAUGCCCAUCAGCAUAAUUAAUGCCCAGAAUUUUUUACAUUCUGGCACAUCGAUGGGGGCCCAUUGCUGCUUUGCCAAAAAAGAGUCAGGCUUUGCAGCACGGAACUGAUCGGCAUAUAAAUUAGUUUGGGCGACAAUGUUCCCCAAUACAUUAUCACCCAGAAACCCCUCCAUAAACUGCUGAGGGCUACAUCCUGCGACAUCCAAAUUGAUGUCAGGAUUUGCAGUAAAGGGUGAGAUGUCUGGCCUCUGGCGAUGAGGCACUACCCAUUCCUCAGCGAAGAGCUUUAUAUUGUGAGAAUCACAAGACACAGACCUACAUUUUGAUGUAUAUCUCUGAAGUAUUAAAAAUGAAGGCACAGUCGCAGUUUAGAAAUUGCACUUCAAAUUUGAGCUUUGUAGAGUGAAGUUUCAAUGAAUGUCAAUGGACGGCGUUAGUUGCAAACAAAUGAUUAUAUUGUGAAAACUAUCAGGACUAUGGCUUAGCCGUUGACAUGUUUAGUGGCAGCAGGGAUAGCUGAACGUUUUGAUAUAAGAUUUGUGUAGGUGGGCCUGAAAAUAAGGGAGUGGUGGCAGUUUAGAAAUCAUGUCCUGAUUUUUCAGCUUUUGCCAGCUCCCACUCUAGCUUUGCCAUUCAUUCCUAUGGGACAAAUUUCGCCACAAGAACGACGAUAUUCCGUGAACCAUUCGGCGAAACGUUCCACAAAGUAAUAGCAAUCCGAUCGGGAACAAUCUGCACGUUUUGGUAAAUUUUUGUCUAUGUAGUGUAAAAACUGUGGGAGGAGUUAGGGUGGCAAAUUUGGCUAUAAUAAGAAUAAGAAUAAGAAUAUAUAUGUGAGAUAACAUUAAGUGGUCUUGCUAUGCAAGAACACUUAAUUACACUUGCAAUGUUAAGGGUAGUGGGAGUUGGCACCCAGACCACUCCAAUGGGCAGAAGUGGUCUGGGUGCCUGGAGUAUCCCUUUAAACUCCUUUACUGUGUUAACCGCUACCACUUCAGCUGGAAGGCUAUUCCAUGCAUCCACUACCCUCUCAGUAAAGUAAUACUUCCUGGUAUUAUUUUUAAACCUUUGCCCCUCUAAUUUAAGACUAUGUCCUCUUGUUGUUGUAGUUUUUCUUCUUUUAAAUAUAGUCUCCUCCUUUACUGUUUUGAUUCCCUUUAGGUAUUUAAAGGUUUCUAUCAUAUCCCCGUCUCGUCUUUCCUCCAAGCAUGUUAAGUUCAUUAAACCUUUCCUUGUAAGUUUUAUCCUGCAAUCCAUGAACCCGUUUAGUAGCCCCUCUCUGAACUCUCUCUAAAGUAUCAAUAUCCUUCUGGAGAUAUGGUCUCCAGUACUGCGUACAAUACUCCAAGUGAGGUCUCACCAGUGUUCUGUACAAUGGCAUGAGCACUUCCCUCUUUCUACUGCUAAUACCUCUCCCUAUACAACCAAGCAUUCUGCUAGCAUUUCCUGCUGCUCUAUUACAUUGUCUGCCUACCUUUAAGUCAUCAGAAUAAUCACCCCUAAAUCCCUUUCCUCAGAUGUUGAGGUUAGGACUCUAUCAAAUAUUCCAUACUCAGCCCUUGGGUUUUUAUGUCCAAGAUGCAUUAUCUUGCACUUAUCCACAUUAAAUGUCAGUUGCCACAGCUCUGACCAUUUUCUAGGUUACCUAAAUCAUUUGCCAUUUGGCUUAUCCCUCCUGGAACAUCAACCCUGUUACAUAUCUUAGUAUCAUCAGCAAAAAGACAUAUCUUACCAUCAAGACCUUCUGCAAUAUCACUAAUAAAAAUAUUAAAGAGAAUGGGUCCAAGUACAGAUCCCUGAGGUACCCCACUGGUGACAAGCCCAUGCUUCGAAUAUACUCCAUUGACGACAACCAUCUGUUGCCUGUCACUCAGCCACUGCCUUACCCAUUCAACAAAAUUGGAAUCCAAACUUAAAGAUUGCAAUUUAUUGAUAAGCCUUCUCUGUGCAACAGUGUCAAAAGCCUUACUGAAAUCUAGGUAAGCAAUGUCUACUGCACCACCCUGAUCUAUAGUUUUAGUUACCCAAUCAAAAAAAUCAAUAAGAUUAGCUUGGCAUGAUCUCCCUGAAGUAAACCCAUGCUGUCUCUGAUCUUGAAAUCCAUGUGAUUUUAGAUGUUCAACAAUCCUAUCCUUUAACAUGGAUUCCAUUACUUUCCCCACUACUGCCCAACUCCUCCCUACUACCUUUCUUGCGAAUGGGCAAAACAUUUGCUAACUAUCAAUCUUCUGGGACUACUCCUGUUAGCAAUGAUUGGUUAAAUAAAUCUGUUAAUGGUUUUGCUAGUACACCACUAAGCUCUUUUAAUAGCUUUGGGUGUAUUCCAUCAGGUCACAUUGACUUAUUUGUCUUUACUUUUGACAGUUGAAAUAGAACCUCUUCCUCUGUAAACUCACGUGUAAUAAAUGAUUCAUUUAUCCUUUUUCCUAACUGAGGCCCCUUUCCUUCAUUUUCAUCUGUAAAUACAGAACAAAAAUAUUCAUUGAGGCAGUCAACUAGACCUUUAUACUCUUCUACAUACCUUCCUUCUUUUGUUUUUAAUCUAACUAAUCCUUGUUUUACUUUCCUUUUCUCAACUAUGUAUAUAAAAAAUGUUUUGUCCCCUCUUUUUACUGACUGUGCUAUUUUCUCUUCUGUGUGUGAUUUGGAAUCUCUUAUAACUUGCUUAGCCUCUUUCUGCCUAAUCUUAUAGAUCAUUUUGUCUUCCUCACUCUGGUUUUUUUUAUAGUUACUAAAUGCUAACUUUUGUUGUUUUUUUUACUAUUUUGGCCACAUCUGCAGAGUACCACAGUGGUUUCUUGAAUUGUUUGCUGUUACUGAAAAGCCUAAUGCAAUGUUCUGUUGCCUUCAGCAGUGCAACUUUUAAAUAAUCCCAUUUCUCUUGGACUCCAUUUAAAUUGCUCCAAUCUGAUAAUGACUCCUUUACACAUAUUCUAAUUUUAGAAAAGUAUGUUUUUCUAAAGUCUAAAACCUUUGUUUUUGUGUGGUGUGACUCAGUCACUGUUCUUAUAUUAAGCCACACUGACUGAUGAUCACUGGAUCCUAAACUUUCACCUACAGUAAUAUCUGAUACCAAAUCUCCAUUUGUUAACACUAAAUCUAGUAUGGUCUCUUUACGAAUUGGCUCCUCAACGACUUGUUUUAGAGACAAUUCCAGUAGGGAGUUUAGAAUAUGUGUGCUCCUGUCACAAGCAGCUAUUUUGGUUUUCCAAUUCACAUCAGAAAGAUUAAAGUCACCCAUGAUAAUAACUUCCCCCUUCAUUGUCAUUUUAGCUAUUUCCUUAACUAGUAGAUUAUCUAACUCUUCUAUUUUUUCCUGGGGGCCUUUAAAUCACACCUACAUGAGUUACUGUGUGAUUACCACAUUCUAACGUAACCCAAACGGACUCUAUGUUCGCCUCACUUACUUUUAUUAGGCUAGCUUUUAUGCUAUCCUUCACAUACACAUUACAUUUUAACCAUAUUUCAUACACUGAACCCCUAUCGCACAAUCCCAUAGGAGUGAGGAGGGUAGAGAGAUGCGGGGGUGGUAUCUCAAGAGACUAAAUAGAGAUUGAUAUAUCACCAUUCAGGGAAAUCUCUCAGCUUUAAUUUUAAGGUAUAUAACUUAAGCUUCUCGGAUAAAGUUGUUCCGUAUACUCCAUCCAUAUUUAGUUAUGGGCAGGUGCUCUCUCUCCAUCUUUAAUUGGAAGGAGAUUUGUGUUUAUAAUAUUGCCCAUGUUGGGGACUCUACUUCCAAAAUUUAACAAUAAAUUUUUUUGCUGCUAUCAGAAUAUGAGUAGCUAUGUAUCCAUCUUUUUGCGACAAUUUAAUUCCAAAUAGGGCAAUUUUGGGAGAAAAAAAUUAAAUGAGCACCCGUACGAUUUUCUAAUAUAUUAUAUGUUAAUUCCCAAAAGGGUUUUAAUUUCUGGCAAUUCCACCAGAUAUGAAUAGAGGAACCUUCUAAAUGGUUGCAUCGCCAGCAAAGAGAAGAAUAUGUGGGGAUAAUCUUAUUAAUUUUCUUUGGAUCCAAAAGCCAUUUAGUUAAUAUCUUAUAUUGUAACUCUAUAAGAUUGAGGCAAUGUAUUGAUUUCUUGACUUUUGGUAUAAUCUUAUACCAGUCUGAAAUUUAAAUCUCUAUUUCAAGAUCGCUUUUCCAUUUAUUUAUAAUGCUGUUAACUGGGUUUUCUCUAGAUGGAUCUUUAUCAUCGAAAAUAGGGCUUUUCAUUAAAGUUCUAACAUUUUCUCCAUAUUUAAACGAGGAAUCUAGUCCUAUGAUUUCAUUAUCUUUUUUACAUGUAAAAUUUCUCAGAAAGAUUUUAAUUAUGAGAUAGGAGAAAACUUCUUUUGGGGGAAGAUGGAAUUCAAGAGCUAUUUCAUGAAAAGAUUUAAUAUGAGAGCAAUUUAAGAUAUCAAUUAAGGCAUUUAUACCAUUAUUUUUCCAUGUAGAUAAAUUAAUUUCUUGUGUUCUAUCUUGACCCUGGACCAGAACUUUAGAAUUUGAUAAGUAAAAUAGUUUUUCCCACCUUUAUUGUCUAAAAUUCUGUCAGUACCCAAUCUUAUAUGAUCAAUCCACAAUAUAAGAAAGAUCAGAAAUUUCCAGCAUGAAUUUCUCAAUAUCAUACCAUGAUAUUGGGGAUGGCUAGUCCACAUUUAUCUAUGUUUUUCUCUAAUAUCUCCCAUUUUAUUCUUGGCUUUUUUCCUUUAGAUACAUAGUCAGAGAAUAUUCUCUGUAUUUUCAGAAUAUUCGAUCUAUAUAGGCAUGUGGGAAGAGAUAAUUCCAAACUGGAAGUUCAUAAGAUUUUAUGACGUUAAUUCGUCCCAGCCAUGACAGUUCCAAAGACUUCCAAUUGGUUUUGAUUACAUUUUUUGCCUGAGAGGUAAGAAUUAUGCCUAGAUACUCAAUACUUUCAGUUUAGAAUUUAAAGGUAUAUUCCCUCUUUAAAAUAUAUAUGGAGUCCGUAUCUAAAUUCCAGCUCAUAAUAGUUGGUUUGGAUGUAUUAGGUUGUGAUUUGACAUAUUACCAAAUAUUUCUAAUUCUUUCAGGAUAUGUUUAAUAGACUUUUCAGGGUCUGUAAGUGUCAUUAUGACAUCAUCGGCAUACAGACUUAAUUUUGACUCUCUGUAUUCAUAUUGAAUUCCCUUGAUGUUUUUAUUCAUUCUAAUAUAUUGGGAUAAGGGCUCUAAAGUGAGGAUAUAUAUAGCAUGAGGGAAAAGGGCCAUCCCUCCCUAGUUCCAUUUCGAACUUUAAAGUAAUACUCAAUCCUAUUAUCCUAGCUGAAGGAUUGGUAUAGAGAGCAGAUAUUGCCUGUAGGAUCCAUCCAUUAAAGCCUCUAUUAAUUAAAGGAUCACAAAAGGGUCAGGACAGGGCCAGAUUAAGAGCCCGGUGGGCCUGGUGCUGACAGUUAUGAUGGGGCUUAACUACAGAAUUGUAUCUACCAAAAACACUAAAACAGUCAUACCUCUCAAGCGUCAUGUAUCUGAUGGAGUUGGUGUUGGAGGGAAACUCAAAGGAUACAGCUAUAAGAAAAUACAUACUCUAUGCUAAUCUCUAAUUUAUGCUUUCAUUUUUCAAGUAAAUACAUACCCCCUAAAAGCAGUGUCCAGUGAAGCAGGAAGUCAAUGGGUGAGGUAAAAGGGUGGGCCACUAAUGCAAUCAAGUGACCAGAACUGCCAAAAGGGGCAAACAUGCCCAAAAAGGGGGCAUGUCUGUCCAAAGAAUUGGAAGGCCAGCCUGGCAUCAGUGUCCCCAUGUCGCCCAGUCCCCUUGUCUCCCAGUUACUGUGUCCCCAUUUCUCCCAGUGUCCCUUUGUCUCAGUGUUUCCUGUGUCACUAGGAUACUAGGGGACACUGAGAGACAUGGGGACACAGUGAGAAAUGGGGACACUGAGAGACCCGGGGACACUGAGACACUUGGGGACACUGGGAGACAUGAGGGCUCUGAGACACUUGGGGACACUGGGAGACAUGGGGGUAAUUGUGGAUAAAGACAUGGGGACACUGGGAGACAUGGGGACACUGAGACAUUUCUGGACACUGAGAGAAUUGGGUUUACAGAAACUAGGGAGACAGAGACAUGGGGACACAGACACUGGGAGACAUGGGGACACAGACAUUUGGUGAAACUAAGACCCUAGGGACACUGAGAGACAUGGAAACACAGACACUGGGAGACUAUGGGACACUGGGAGACAUUGGGACACUGAGAGAUCCGGGGACACUGAGACACUUGGGGACACUGGGAGACAUCGGGGCACUGAGACAAUUGGGGACACUGGGAGACAUUGGGGCACUUGUGGAUAAAGACAUGGGGACAGUGGGAGACAUGCGGGCACUGAGACAUUUGUGGACACUGGGAGAAAUGGGGUCACAGACACUAGGGAGACAGAGACAUGGGGACACAGACACUGGGAGACAUGGGAACACAGACAUUUGGGGAAACUAAGACACUUGUGACACUGAGAGACAUAGGAACACAAACACUGGGAGACUAGGGGACACUGGGAGACAUGGGGACACUGAGGCACUAGGGACACUGGCUGGGAGGCAUGGGGACACAGACACUUGGGGACACUGGGAGACAUUGGGCACUUGUGGACAUAGACAUGGGGACACUGAGACAUUUGGGGACACUGGGAGACAUGGGGACACUAGGGACACAGAGACAUAGGGACACAGACACUGGGAGACAUGGGGACACUGAGACACUAGGGACACUGGCUGGGAGCCAUGGGGACACUGGGAGACAUGGAGACACUGUGUCCCUAGUGUCUCCAUGUCCCAAUGUGUCUACCUAUGUCUCACAGUGUCCCCAUGUGUCUCAGCGUCCCCAUGUUUCACAGUGUCCCCUAGUGUCUCCCUGUCCCAAUGUGUCUACCUAUGUCUCACAGUGUCCCCAUGUGUCUCAGAGUCCCCUUGUCUCACAGUGUCCCCUAGUGUCUCAGUGUCCCCAUGUUUCCCAGUGUCCCCAAGUGUCUGUGUCCCCACGUCUCCCAGUGUCCACUAGUGUCUCAGUGUCACCAUGUGUCCCCUAGUGUCCCCAUGUCUCCCUGCUGCCCCCCCCUCUUUCACAUACCUGAGCUGUAGUCUGUCUCUGCAGGCUGGGAGCUGCUGUUUGGACUCUCUGUGCUGUGUUGCUGCUCCCCUGCGCAUCAGUGAUUAGAGAGAGGCAGAUGCUGUAACUUCCUAUCCCUGCCUCUUUCCAUACACAGUGACUGCUACUGACCGGUGCGGGUAUUGCAGAGUAAUCCCUGUUUAUACUGAGAAAAAUAUUUGCAUUUGUAUUGCCGGUAUUACUGCAAUACUGGCACGGCCAGGCAGCCUCAAAUACCAGCUGUGCCUUAAAAUACCAGGCAGGUGGCAAAUAAUUUUUUUUUUAUAAAUAAAAUAAUAUAUAUAUAUAUUUUUUUUUUUUAAAUGGGCCUAUUCCAUGGGCAUGGGCCUGGAGCUGCAGCUCCAUUAGCCCCUAUGUUAAUCCGGCCUUGGGUCAGGAAUACCCUAUAGUGUUAAAACCACCAUCUAGCCCCCCUGGGCCACUCAUGCCUCCAAAAAUAUAGCAACAUCUUACUGUAUUCAAGCCUGAAGCUGUAGAUCUGCAAGCUGUUUGCCUCAAAAAAACAACAACCAGUCUGCUUACAUCAUCAGAAGUGAUAGUCUAAUCCAAACACAAUGCUUUCCUAUGGUAUUGGCUGAGACUGACAAGGAGGCAGAUCAGGGGCAGAGCCAGCAUUAUUCAAACACAGCCCUGGCCAAUCAGCAUCUCCUCAUAGAGAUGAAUUGAAUUAAUGAAUCUCUAUGAGGAAAGUUCAGUGUCUGCAUACAGAGGGAGGAGACACUGAAUGUUUGGAUGCAUUUUAGGCAGCCAUGACCCAGGAAGGAUCUCUAACAACCAUCUGAGGAUUGGCCAGUGAAGUUAUCACUAGGCUGUAAUAUAAACACUGCAUUUUCUCUGAAAAGACAGUGUUUACAGCAAAAAGCCUGAAGGGAAUGAUUCUACUCACCAGAACAAAUUCAAUAAGCUGUAGUUGUUCUGGUUACUAUAGUGUCCCUUUAAUGUUUGAAGCAUAAAAGUCAAGCUUUAUCAAAGGCUUUAUUCGUAUCAAGCAAAAGUAAGAUAGUCUGAUCGGUUCUUCUGUUAGUUAAAACUAUCAAGUCUGCUACUCUACGAAUGUUGUCAGAAAGGUAACUUCCCGUUACAAAGCCUGUUUGCUCGGGAUGGAUUAAAGAUGGAAUUAUAGGUUUCAAUCUUGCUGCUAUAAUGGCAGAAUAUAAUUUUAUAUCAGCAUUGAUGAGUGAAAUAGGGUGGUAAUUUGCAAUCUGUGAUGGGUCUUUAUUAUUUUUUAAUAUGGGUAUUAUAUUUGCCUGAAAUAGUUCGGCUCGAAUUUCACUUCUAUCUGAAAAGAAAUUAAAUAAUUUUGUAAGAUAUUUACAUAAAGCAUCUUUCAUGGUUUUAUAGAAUAUUCUGGGAAAUCCAUCAGGGCCAGGGGCUUUAUUUAUUUAUUUUUUUCUAUAGCUAACCUCACUUCUUCUUCCGUUAUUGGUUGGUUCAGAUCCUUAAUUUGAUCCUCUGUGAGGGUAGAUAAUCCACAUUUUUCUAAAUAUUUUUUCGAUCUCUAAAUUUGUUUUAAGAGUUUUUAGAUUGUACAUAUUUUGGGAGAAAAAACCAAAAGCCUCACCAAUUUCUGAUGGAGAAUAUAUAGUUUCCCCUUUGUUUGAUAUUUUAUAGAUUCUUUGAGUGGUAGUACGCUUUUUUAAUUUGGCCGUCAAGAUUUUAUCUGCUUUAUUUCCUUUGAGAUAAUAAGACUGAUUUAGCUUUGUUAGAGCAUCCUUAGCUCAUUUAAGGAUAACUCUAGUUCCCUUUCUGAAGAUGAACGAGAAGAGCAAAAUUAAACUGUGCUAUCAAAGCUUUAAUGUGCAUAAGCAACUUUAUGUUAAUGAAGCCGUUUUGGUGUAUAGAUCAUGUCGCUGUAGUGUCACUGCUCAAUUCUCAGGCAUUUAGGAGUUAAAUCACUUUUGUUUAUGUCUGUGCUGCAUUAGCCACACCUCUUCUAGCUGUGACUCUCACAACCUACAUGAAUAAAAAACGUUUGAUUUCUUGAAGAUCUUACAGCACAGUAUGUUUACUUUAGAAGUUAUUAUUUUCUGCUCUGUUGAUUAACAAAGCAGGAGAGAAGAAAUUAUGAAUUAAACACACUGUGCAAUAAAGGAAGUUUAAAAAUUAGAUAUCUCUUUGCCUCAAGUGUGUAGGAAAGCUGUAUAUGAUGUUACCCAUACCAUAUCAUCCCCAUUGCAGCCAUGCUGCCUCUUUGGACACAUACACAAAUAUGUGCACACAGAUAUAUAUACACUCUGAUACAGCACACCUAUUCCAGAUACACUCACUCAUAUAACUGCCAGAAAGACAAACACAAAGACCACACAAAGACCCUCAUUCUCUGACGCACACAGAUACACAAUAUAUAAAAGUUAAACAAUACUGGGGUGCUUCCCAGCACAGCAUACAAACAAAGUAAAAACAGGAACAUACUCUCGGUUUUCCAAGUGUAUUAAAAAAAUAAUCACAAUCUAUACAUCAACAUUUCGACCCUCCAGGGUCUUUAUCAAGGUCUUUAUCAAGAUUAUGUAAACUGACUGUCAAAUCUAUAAGUUUCCGUGACAAUAUAUAAUUAGAUCUGAGACAUUAUUGAUAAAGACCCUGGAGGGUCGAAACAUUGAUGUAUAGAUUGUGAUUAUUUUAUGAAUGCACUUGGAAAACCGAGAAAGUGCUCCUGUCUUUACUUUGUGUGUGUGUGUGUGUGUGUGUGUGUGUGUGUAUGUAUGUAUGCAUACAUACAUAUAUAUGUAUGUGUAUAUAUGUGUUUGUGAGUACACACGUAAAUAUCUAAAUACACUGUCACUGUAUUUAGUCAUAAAUAUCUAAAUACAUACACACAUAUACACGCUUACAGACACAAACUGCUACACACACACAUAUUGAAACAGGCAAAUAUAAAUAUAAAUGCAUUCCAAUAACUUUCUGGCUGCACUCCACACACAUUUACCCUGGCUAUGUAGAUAAUAUGCUGUGAGAGCAGCUGCAACCAUCAGACAGUAAAGUGUAGAUUCACACGGUGAUGGAGCAGACAAAUCAGUCUCCCCUCUGCCAGUCCCCCAUCAGCCACCCUCCAAUUACCUUCUUAUCUUGAAACAAAGGUGGCUGGUCCUGUACUCAGCAGUUCAAGCAGGCUUUUACAACAUCUAUUCACUUAGAGCAUGGGAGGAUGUCUUGUCAUGUUACAUCCUCUCAUCGCUUUGUAUGAAAACAGGGUGAGGAGAGAAGGAGCUACUGCAUGCAGGGAAUAUAUAUAUUUUUAGAUUUUAUACAGUAUUGCUUGCCUUGAAAUAUUUCAUAUAUUGCACAAACAAAGGUCUAGAAGAGAUUUUAAAAAGUUGGAAUAAUACUAAUUUUAAUAUAAUUUAUAUGGACAUUCCAUGUUAUUUAAGUGGCCAUAGACUACAGUUGCAGUCAUAAAUUGGUUCUAAAUAGGUUGUCAAGUGAGGAGUGUGGGGUAUAUAAGAUUAAAGAUUGCCAGAGGAAGGGAAAUGAGGUGGAGAGUUGGGUCUAUAGAGGGAAAUGAGGGGUUGUGUAGCCAGAAACAAAAGAGUGUCUUGAUAUGCGGCUAUCCAGUGAUCUCCAAGUAGUACAUAUUUAAGAAGGGUCCAAGGGAGAGGGCAAAGAGGAAAGAGGAAAGAGGAAAGAUGACAACCUUGGCACGCUCCUUUACAAAUAGCAAAAGGUUUAGAGAGGGAUCAAAUUAAAUUAAUCUGGGCCAUUGGGAAUAUGUAGAGUGUAAGAAUAUGUUUUAUUUUUGUUGUUUACAGUGGUUGCGACAAGAAAAUAAAUGUGGGUUUUUCUAAUGCCCUUAAUGGCAUUCUUGGUAAUCUAUCACCAGGAAGUUAAAAUAAUGUCUAUAUAUAGGCAUAUUAGAUCUAUUAAAUAUUUGAUGUGUCUAUUGUAGUUGCAUUGAAUCAUAUAAUACCUAUUAGCCCCUCUACCACCUUACUGUAUAAACGGCAGGGCAAGAUUAAGAGCCCAGUGGGCCUAGUGCUGACAAUUAUGACGGGCCUAAUUACAGAAUCAUAUCGACCAAAAACAGUAAAACACUCCCAAGCAUCAUGUAUCUGAUGAAGAUGGUGCUGGAGAGAAAGAAAACAGCAGCUAUAAGAAAACACAUACCCUAGGCUAAUCUCUCUCUAAUUUAUGUUUUCAUCUUUCAAGUAAAUCCAUAACCCCUAACAGCAGUGUCCAGUCAAGCAGGAAGUCAAUGGGCAUGGUAAAAGGGUGUGCCACUGACACAAAUCAUGUAACCUGCCAAAAGGGGCAAACAUGCCCAAAAAGAGGACAUGUCUGCUCAAAGAAUUAGAAGGCCAGCCUGGCAUGAAUGCAUGUCAGGCUGCCUACCAGUCAUUCAGGCUGGCCAAUUUAGGGCAUACUAUGCAGACAGCACCCUGAGCUUGUCAUAAAUGCAUCUAAUGAUGCGCUCACUCAACGCUUUCUAAGGACUGUCCCCUAGCACUCGCUGGUCCACUUGUCUCCUUACCAUCUUACUAGCAGGCAGAAGCUCCUGGUAUAUGGUCUGGGACAGUGAAAAGCUGUAGGUAGUGAGUGUAGAAGAAAGGGAACAUGCCACAGUGUUAGAGAGACCAAAGUCAGCAUUACCUUAAAGGAUCACUAUAGGGUCAGGAACACAAACAUGAAUUCAUGACCCUAUAGUGUUAACACCACCAUCUAGCCCCCCUGGGCCCCUCAUGCCUCCAUAAAUAUAGCAAAAUCCUACUAUAUUCAAGCCUGAAGCUGUAACUCUGCAUGCUGUUAGACUCAUAAAAACAAGCAGUCUGCUGACAUCAUAAGAAGUGGUGGCCUGAUCCAAUCACAGUGCUUCCCCAUAGGAUUGGCUUAGACUGACAAAGAGGCAGAUCAGGGUCAGAGCCAGCAUGAUUCAAACACAGCCCUGGCCAAUCAGCAUCUCCUUAUAUAGAUGAAUUUAAUAAAUGAAUCUCUAUGAGGAAAGUUCAGUGUCUGCAUGCAGAGGGAGGAGAAACUGAAUGUUUGGAUGCAUUUUAGGCAGCCAUGACCCAGGAAGGAUCUCUAACAGUCAUCUAAGGAGUGGCCGGUGAAGUUAUCUCUAGGAUGUAAUGUAAACACAGCAUUUUCUCUGAAAAGACCGUGCUUACAGCAAAAAGCCUGAUGGUAAUGAUUCUACUCACCAGAACAAAUUCAAUAAGCUGUAGUUGUUCUGGUGACUCUAGUGUCCCAUUAACUAUAUCCAUUGUCAGCCAGUCCACACAAGUUUUGUUCCCAUACAUCUCUCUUAAGUUUCCAUACUUAAGUAAGAGUAUGUUAAAAGUAGUUAGGGUUGCCACCUUUCUUGGAAAAACAUACCGACCUUACUAAUUUGCAUAAUUAAAUAUGUGUGGGUGAUGUCACUUGAUGUAAAUCACAAGGAGUGACAUAAGAGAAAAUGCUGUAAAAUCACCAAAAAACUACUUAGUUUAAAUCUGCUGUAUAGAUGGAUUCCUCCCAGUGCCCCCAUGUCUCCCAGUGCCCUCAUGACUCAGUGCCCCCAUGUGUCGAUUACUCCAGGUCUCAGUGUUCCUAUGUAUCAGUGUCUCAGUGCCCCAUGUCUCCCAGUGUCCCCUAAGUGUCGUGUCCCCAGGUCUCCCAGUGAUCCUAUGUAUCAGUGUCUCAAUGCCCCAUGUCUCCCUGUGUCCCCAUGUAUCCCAGGGUCCCCAUGUCACUAGGACACUAGGAAGACGGGAGACCUGGGGACACAGGGAGACCUAGGGACACGGAGACACCAGUGACACUGGGAGACUAGGGGACUCUGGCUGGGACACAUGGGGACAAUGGGAAAAUAGGGGACACUUGAAGACAUGGGGAUACAGACACCAGGGACAAAGAUACUAGAGACACUGGCUGGGGGACAUGGGGACAUUAAGACAUGGGGGCACUGGGAGACAUGGGGACACUGAGACACCAGGGCCACAGACACUAGCUUGGGGACAUUGUGACACUUGAGGCACUGAGAGACAUGGAGGCACUAGGAGACAUGGGGACAGUGAGACACUGGCAGACUGGGGGCACUGGGAGACUAGGGGGCACUGGGAGACUAGGGGGCACUGAGACACCAGGGACACUGGCUAGGAGACAUGGGGACACUGUGUCCCCAUGUGUCUGUGCCAUAAUGUCUCCCAAUUUCCCUUAGUGUCUCAGUGUCUGCCAUAAUGUCUCCCAGUCUCCCUUAGUGUCUCAGUGUAUGUCUCCUUGCAGCCUUUUCACCCAUCCCUUACUUCCCUGAGCUGUAAGCUGUCUCUGCAGGGUGGGAGUUGCUGUCUGGACUCUCUGUAGCUACACCCCUGCAGAUCAGUGAGUAUAGAUAGGCAGGGAGGGAUAUGCUGGAACUUCCUAUCCCUGCCCGUCUCCACAUACAGCGACCCCUACUGGCCAGUGCUGGUAUUGCAGAGUAAUCUCCAUUUAUACUGAGAAAAAUACCUAAAUUUAUAUUGCCAGUAUCACUGCAAUAUUGGCACCAGCCAGGCAGCCUCAAAUACUGGCUGUGCCAAUAAAAUAAAAGCCAGGUGGAAUCUCUAAGAGUAGUGUGUGAGAAAAAAAAAAUGUAAAAAAAAAGUUUUUUUUUUUUUUAAGUCAAUGGGCCUAUUCCCUGGGCCUGGGCCUGGAGCUGCAGCUCCAUCAGCCCCUAUGUUAAUCCGGCCCUGAUAAACGGAAUGUGUUUUUUUCUGAAUUUACAACUCACAUAGUGAUGUCAGGAUGUGACACAAUAUACAAAAAUAAUUUUCCAAAAUAUUAUACUUAUACAUAUGUACUAUUUUCCAUACUCUCUAAAAAGACCAGAGUUAAAAUAUUGCAUGGAGAACAAUGCAUAAAGUCUUAACAGUCUGUCCAGACCGUUUUAGUAACCCUCCAUUCAAGUAUCUCAGGUUGCUGUGUGUCCCUAAUAAAUAUGUCUGUUCCAAACUAGCCAUGGUCCACUUUAGAGUUCUUCCUCCUACAAAAUUGUACUCAACUACCUCCUAGAUUGGAAACUUUUUCAAGAAGGGCUUUCUACAUUUUGUGUGUUUUUGAUCUAUAGUAUCAUAGUAUCAUAGUAUCAUAGUAUCAUAGUAGCAAAGCCUUAAAUUAUAAAUAGUAUGAAAAUAGUAUGGAGAUACUAAAAAUUAAGCUUGACAAAGACCCAAUUCUGAGUCGAAACUUUGCAAUGUUCCUAUUGUUCUAAUAAAUGUGCCUAAAGCUAUUGGAGUGCCUGGACCUUUUCUCUAUUAUUGAUUUUAAUAUUGACUGUGUAAUAAUACUUGGUGCCAAAUUAUUAUAGGCAUAUUUAUAAUGUUAUUUGCAUUCUUAGCAAUUUUUGUAAAAUAAUUGUAUAGUUUUGAGAAUAUGAGUGUGGAAGGAUAUUUCCCCUUUCCCUCUUUUUUUGUACUUUUAUGAUAUAAACUGUGUUGACAUACUAAGAUACAAUGGCGCUACAUUGGUUUGGCCAAGUUACAGUCUAAUGGUAAUAAUUGUGUCUUUCAGAUUUUCUAACACCAAACCAGUUUGAACUCAUUUCACAGUUAACAGGCUGCAUCUCGCAGCUUAUUCCAAAGGUUUUCACGGACAGCCCUUAUCGCACCAUCACUGGAGAGUGUAACAACAGGUAAGAGUUC